CGAAGGGGUGAAAAGUUGUUUUCCAUACACUUUUGCACCGUACAAAGCGAAGCGGCCUGUCGUGUUUUGAAUUUGAAUGUUUUAACAACAAUUGCCGCCGUUCAUACUCCUCAUCUCUCUCUCUCUCUCUCAUCCACAUACACGCAAGCAAACAAAAAUAUUUCAACUCUCGGUCAAAUAUAGUACACAAUUCCGCUCAUCUACUAUUUUUUAUAAAAAAUCGAAAGGAUAAAAAUUCUUGAAUUAAAAUAAAAAAAAUUGUGUCGUGUUUUUUGUGUUUAAAGUUCCAAGCAGUGCAGUUUGUGCAGUGUUUUCUCGCUAAAACAAAUGAAAACGAAGAAAAUUGCUUAAAAACCAGGAUGAAGAAUUAAUAUUGAAACAAUAUAAAAACAAACAAACAAAAAAAAAAAAAAGAAAACAAAAGCAAGAUUUUCAAAAUGGUGUAAUGUCAGUGAAAGUGAUAUUUUAUUUCGUGAAGAAAACAAAAACAAAAACAAAAACAAAAAAAAAAAUAAUAAAGUGUUCAAAGUGUUCGAAAGAUAACAACGCAGUAAACAAAAGUGCAAAGCAGCAAAUGGACUGCCAAAAGUAUUUUCUACUUUACUGUAUACAAUUUUAAUGAAAUAUAUAUAUAUAUUUUGCUAAUUGGAAACGAAAAUCGAAAAAGUGUAUAAGAAGAUUUUUAAAAAAAGUGCGCAAAGUUUCCCCCCUUUCCCCACAUCUUUUUUUUUUAUAAAUAUUCUUUUUACUCAUUUCCUUCCACCUUCCAAAAAUAUAUUUGCGAGAAAGAAAAUUUUUGGUGUAAGAAAUUGUUUCCGAAAAAAUGAAUUAAAAAUGCAAAUAAAAUCGCGUUGGUUAUUGAAAUUCAACUGAACAAAAAAUCUGCCGGUGAAUAUCAAGUGGAUUAACAAAGGCAAUAUUUUUGCUCGCUUCGUCCUUGAAAAA